rnacentral:rRNA from 1 species
UACGUAGGGGGCAAGCGUUGUCCGGAUUUAUUGGGCGUAAAGAGCGUGUAGGCGGUCCGGUAAGUCAGCUGUGAAAGUCAAGGGCUCAACCCUUGAAUGCCGGUUGAUACUGUCGGGCUAGAGUCCGGAAGAGGCGAGUGGAAUUCCCGGUGUAGCGGUGAAAUGCGCAGAUAUCAGGAAGAACACCCGUGGCGAAGGCGGCUCUCUGGAACGCAACUGACGCUGAGACGCGAAAGCGUGGGGAGCGAACAGG